rnacentral:rRNA from 1 species
UACGUAGGGGGCUAGCGUUGUUCGGAAUUACUGGGCGUAAAGGGCGCGUAGGCGGUUCUUCAAGUCAGGCGUGAAAGCCCCGGGCUCAACCUGGGAACCGCGCUUGAGACUGGAGAACUAGAGUUCGGUAGGGGAGACUGGAAUUCCUGGUGUAGCGGUGAAAUGCGCAGAUAUCAGGAGGAAUACCAGCGGCGAAGGCGGCGCUCUGGGCCGGUACUGACGCUGAGGAGCGAAAGCGUGGGGAGCAAACAGG